UGUAGACAUCCUGUACAUAGUACAUAUACAUCUGAGCUGUAGUCCAAUCGAAACAAGAGUGAACCAUUUUUUACUUUACACGCCAAACUUCAAUGUUUUCUUGGGAAGAGAGUUCAUUCAGGAGUAAUGCUCGUUGGUUCAUUCCGUAUGCAGUCAGCUGAUGGGUUUGGCAAGAGAUAAGACCCUCAUGGAUUUGCAUAAGCGUUAUCAACAUCUCUGCCGUAAACGUACCUCGUAUCUUUCUCGUCCACAUUCCAAGUCUCUGCUCGACGUGGCUGUGCGGACACUGCACUUGUUCGCACUCACCCUCGGGAUCUUCUCGUCCUCGGUGACCAGCUCUAUCCGCUGCGUGACGGAGUGGACGGCCGCCAGGUCCAGGGAGCCCACGUACACCUGGAUGGGGUUCUUCAUGUAGGACUGCGCCAGUCGCCGCACGCCCUCCGGCCAGGUGGCGCUGAAACAGUCGCACUCGGCUGACACGGGGCGGUGCAGCAUCCACACAACAACUUUUCAUGGUUUUAUUUCGUUUUUAAAAUGGAGGUUUUUCAGUGUUGUCAUUUUAAUUUUUAUAAAAGCUGUGUCGAUACUUACUCCACCAAAAUUGUGUUGAGAUAAAAAUUGAUAUGCUGCAUUUUAACGAUAAAAUAAUUUGUAAUAAAUUGGUCUAAACCAGAUGCAUUCAGAACAAUAAUAAUAAAUUAAUUUUUUCUGAUCCAUGCACUUUGGUACAAUUUUUUUGUCCGAAAAUAACAACAUUCCUUGAAUUUCAAACAUUAAAGUAUUACUCUUUUUAUGAUUUGAAAUAAGUUUUGGUUAAAUGCUACUUGAUUUCAUGUUGUAACUUGCAUUUCGGUGUUAUAUGGUGUAUUAAUCUGCAUUUUGGUGUUAUUUCUGUUUUAUCGCGAUUCGCCAUAUAAUCUUGUCCCUAGUAAUAACUGAUAAGUCUUUCCUAGUAGCUACAGAAACUCCUUAACAGGGAUUCACUGUGAUGAAAUACACAAUACAUUUACAGUUUGAUUCCUUUGAAACAGCUAAAAUAUUUUAAUAAUAAAUUUAAACAUUACUUUUUAACACCCCAUAAAGCCAAAAUAAUCAUGUAAAAAAAAAUUCACAACUCAAUAUAAUUUUUUUUUAUAGAGAAAAACAGUUGUAGUUAGUACCAA